GCACUUAACAUUCAGGAAUUCGCCCCUAUAUUGGAAAGUGCCGGGUUCGCCCGGCUAUGGCGAUAAAUGAUGCCGUGCAAUAGAUGCAGCGGACCCGGGGGCGGUACCCGGCGGCUCCACCACUUGUCCCGGCGAAGGCCAGGAUCAUUGACGGGGCCGAACUAGGAUCGACGUGUGUUGAAAAGCGGUGUUUUUGCCCGGCAUGAAUAAGCCGUGAAAUGGUUCAAUCUCAUAAGUGCCAACGAUAACGAAGCACUUGCUAUUGCUGCUUAACCCAAGGGCCUCGCGGCCCUAGGUUAACCAACAUAACGCGGUCGGGCUGAACCGGGCAACAGAAUCAGACACCAGCGGCCCGGGAGGCGCCGGGCAACAGAAGCCUCCCACC
rnacentral:tmRNA from 2 species